CUCGGGGGUCCCAGUUCC
rnacentral:snRNA from 1 species